ACUUGAAUAGCUCAAUUGGUUAGAGCAUCGGUUUAAUAAGCGGGGAGGUUAUGAGUUCAACUUUCAUUCAAAGCA
rnacentral:tRNA from 1 species